rnacentral:rRNA from 1 species
UGACGCUGGCGGCAGGCCUAACACAUGCAAGUCGAGCGGCAGCACAAGGGAGUUUACUCCUGAGGUGGCGAGCGGCGGACGGGUGAGUAAUGCCUAGGGAUCUGCCCAGUCGAGGGGGAUAACAGUUGGAAACGACUGCUAAUACCGCAUACGCCCUACGGGGGAAAGAGGGGGACUUUCGGGCCUCUCGCGAUUGGAUGAACCUAGGUGGGAUUAGCUAGUUGGUGAGGUAAUGGCUCACCAAGGCGACGAUCCCUAGCUGUUCUGAGAGGAUGAUCAGCCACACUGGGACUGAGACACGGCCCAGACUCCUACGGGAGGCAGCAGUGGGGAAUAUUGCACAAUGGGGGAAACCCUGAUGCAGCCAUGCCGCGUGUGUGAAGAAGGCCUUCGGGUUGUAAAGCACUUUCAGUAGGGAGGAAAGGUUGUAAGUUAAUACCUUGCAGCUGUGACGUUACCUACAGAAGAAGGACCGGCUAACUCCGUGCCAGCAGCCGCGGUAAUACGGAGGGUCCAAGCGUUAAUCGGAAUUACUGGGCGUAAAGCGUGCGCAGGCGGUUUGUUAAGCGAGAUGUGAAAGCCCCGGGCUCAACCUGGGAAUUGCAUUUCGAACUGGCAAACUAGAGUCUUGUAGAGGGGGGUAGAAUUCCAGGUGUAGCGGUGAAAUGCGUAGAGAUCUGGAGGAAUACCGGUGGCGAAGGCCGCCCCCUGGACAAGACUGACGCUCAGGCACGAAAGCGUGGGGAGCAACAGGAUUAAUACCCUGGU